GACGAACGCUGGCGGCGUGCUUAACACAUGCAAGUCGAACGGUAAGGCCCUUCGGGGUACACGAGUGGCGAACGGGUGAGUAACACGUGGGUGAUCUGCCCUGCACUUCGGGAUAAGCCUGGGAAACUGGGUCUAAUACCGGAUAGGACUCCUGGCUUCAUGGUUGGGGGUGGAAAGCUUUUGCGGUGUGGGAUGGGCCCGCGGCCUAUCAGCUUGGUGGUGGGGUAAUGGCCUACCAAGGCGACGACGGGUAGCCGGCCUGAGAGGGUGACCGGUCACACUGGGACUGAGAUACGGCCCAGACUCCUACGGGAGGCAGCAGUGGGGAAUAUUGGACAAUGGGGGCAACCCUGAUGCAGCGACGCCGCGUGAGGGAUGACGGCCUUCGGGUUGUAAACCUCUUUCAGCACCGACGAAGCGCAAGUGACGGUAGGUGCAGAAGAAGGACCGGCCAACUACGUGCCAGCAGCCGCGGUAA
rnacentral:rRNA from 1 species